rnacentral:rRNA from 1 species
GAACGGGUGGUAAUGCCGGAUGCUCCAGUUGAUCGCAUGGUCUUCUGGGAAAGCUUUCGCGGUAUGGGAUGGGGUCGCGUCCUAUCAGCUUGACGGCGGGGUAACGGCCCACCGUGGCUUCGACGGGUAGCCGGCCUGAGAGGGCGACCGGCCACAUUGGGACUGAGAUACGGCCCAGACUCCUACGGGAGGCAGCAGUGGGGAAUAUUGCACAAUGGGCGCAAGCCUGAUGCAGCGACGCCGCGUGAGGGAUGGAGGCCUUCGGGUUGUAAACCUCUUUUAUCGGGGAGCAAGCGAGAGUGAGUUUACCCGUUGAAUAAGCACCGGCUAACUACGUGCCAGCAGCCGCGGUAAUACGUAGGGUGCAAGCGUUAUCCGGAAUUAUUGGGCGUAAAGGGCUCGUAGGCGGUUCGUCGCGUCCGGUGUGAAAGUCCAUCGCUUAACGGUGGAUCCGCGCCGGGUACGGGCGGGCUUGAGUGCGGUAGGGGAGACUGGAAUUCCCGGUGUAACGGUGGAAUGUGUAGAUAUC